rnacentral:rRNA from 1 species
AACGCGAAGAACCUUACCUGGCCUUGACAUGUACGUAGUAGAAGGGUGAAAGCCUGACGAGGUAGCAAUACCAGCGUACACAGGUGCUGCAUGGCUGUCGUCAGCUCGUGUCGUGAGAUGUUGGGUUAAGUCCCGCAACGAGCGCAACCCUUGUGUCCUGUUGCUACUCGAACGAGAGUUCGAGGCACUCUGGACAGACUGCCUCGCUUAAACGAGGAGGAAGGUGGGGAUGACGUCAAGUCAGUAUGGCCCUUACGGCCAGGGCUGCACACGUACUACAAUGCCCGGCACAAAGGGAAGCAAUGUCGCAAGGCGGAGCAAAUCCCAGAAAACCGGGCCCAGUUCAGAUUGCCGUCUGCAACUCGACGGCAUGAAGCUGGAAUCGCUAGUAAUGGCGCAUCAGCUACGGCGCCGUGAAUACGUUCCCGGGCCUUGUA